rnacentral:rRNA from 1 species
GUGCCAGCCGCCGCGGUAAUACCGGCAGCCCAAGUGAUGGCCGCUGUUAUUGGGCCUAAAGCGUCCGUAGCUGGCCGCACAAGUCCGUCGGGAAAUCCGCCCGCUCAACGGGCGGCCGUCCGGCGGAAACUGCAUAGCUUGGGACCGGAAGGCUCGAAGGGUACGUGCGGGGUAGGAGUGAAAUCCCAUAAUCCCGCACGGACCACCGAUGGCGAAAGCACUUCGAGAAAACGGAUCCGACAGUGAGGGACGAAAGCCAGGGUCUCCAACCGGAUUAGAUACCCGAGUAGUCC